rnacentral:rRNA from 1 species
GAAAAGAAACCAACAGGGAUUCCCCUAGUAACGGCGAGUGAAGCGGGAAGAGCUCAAAUUUAAAAUCGUGUCAGGGUGACCUGGUCACGAAUUGUAGUUUGAUGAGGUAUGCUUGGUGGGCGCCUGGGUCAAAAUCCUUUGGAAAAGGGUAUCAUAGAGGGUGACAAUCCCGUCUGUGAUCCAGUCAGCGGUCUAUCGUGUAAGCUACCUUCAAAGAGUCGGGUUGUUUGGGAAUGCAGCCCUAAGCUGGUGGUAAAUUCCAUCUAAGGCUAAAUAUUCGUGAGAGACCGAUAGCGAACAAGUACCGUGAGGGAAAGUUGAAAAGCACUCUGGAGAGAGAGUCAAACAGCACGUGAAAUUGUUAACAGGGAAACGUUGGGCACCAGUACGCGCCUCGCGUAAAAUCAACCAUCUCUUCCCCAAGGGUAUACGUCUGAGUGGAUGAGCCUUAAAAAGCCAUUGCUCAGUCGUUGCCUGAGGGGGGUGGUGCACUUUUGCGUGGGCGGGUCAACAUCAGUUAGGACCGUCGGAAAAUCCUCAAGGGAAGGUAGGUAUCGGAUUCGUCUGGUACAACUUAUAGCCCUUGUUGAACGCGACGAUUCUGACUGUGGAGCCGCGACUCGUGCUUCCUUCGGGAGGCAGGCCCCCAGGGCUCUCAUUCUCCGCCGGGGCUAGACAGCUUGCUGACUAGUCUUGGUCUGGAGGAUGAUGUGGUCAGGGUAGGGUUCUAGCGAGUCUCCGGACGUGCCGAAAAUC